rnacentral:rRNA from 1 species
AUUGAACGCUGGCGGCAUGCCUUGCACAUGCAAGUCGAACGGCAGCACGGGGCAACCUGGUGGCGCGUGGCGAACGGGUGAGUAAUGCAUCGGAACGUACCUUUCAGUGGGGGAUAACGUAGCGAAAGUUACGCUAAUACCGCAUAUUCUGUGAGCAGGAAAGCAGGGGAUCGCAAGACCUUGCGCUGAUUGAGCGGCCGAUGUCAGAUUAGCUAGUUGGUGAGGUAAAGGCUCACCAAGGCGACGAUCUGUAGCGGGUCCGAGAGGAUGAUCCGCCACACUGGAACUUAGGCACGGUCCAGACUCCUACGGGAGGCAGCAGGGGGGAAUUUUGAACAAUGGGGGCAACCCUGAUCCAGCCAUGCAGCGUGAGUGAAGAAGGCCUUCGGGUUGUAAAGCUCUUUCGGCCAGGAAGAAAUCGCACGGGCUAAUACCCUGUGUGGAUGACGGUACCGGAAUAAGAAGCACCGGCUAACUACGUGCCAGCCGCCGCCGUAACAC